rnacentral:piRNA from 1 species
GGCUUCAGAUGCGUGCAGGGUGAUGUGA